AUUGGACGCUGGCGGCAGGCCUAACACAUGCAAGUCGAGCGGAUGAAGGGAGCUUGCUCCUGGAUUCAGCGGCGGACGGGUGAGUAAUGCCUAGGAAUCUGCCUGGUAGUGGGGGAUAACGUCCGGAAACGGGCGCUAAUACCGCAUACGUCCUGAGGGAGAAAGUGGGGGAUCUUCGGACCUCACGCUAUCAGAUGAGCCUAGGUCGGAUUAGCUAGUUGGUGGGGUAAAGGCCUACCAAGGCGACGAUCCGUAACUGGUCUGAGAGGAUGAUCAGUCACACUGGAACUGAGACACGGUCCAGACUCCUACGGGAGGCAGCAGUGGGGAAUAUUGGACAAUGGGCGAAAGCCUGAUCCAGCCAUGCCGCGUGUGUGAAGAAGGUCUUCGGAUUGUAAAGCACUUUAAGUUGGGAGGAAGGGCAGAAAGUUAAUACCUUGCUGUUUUGACGUUACCAACAGAAUAAGCACCGGCUAACUUCGUG
rnacentral:rRNA from 1 species